UACGGAGGGUGCGAGCGUUGUCCGGAAUCAUUGGGCGUAAAGGGCGCGUAGGUGGCCCGGUCAGCGUGCGGUGAAAGCUCGGGGCUCAACCCCGAGUCGGCCGUGCGAACUGCUGGGCUUGAGCACUGUAGAGGCAGGCGGAAUUCCUGGUGUAGCGGUGAAAUGCGCAGAUAUCAGGAGGAACACCAAUGGCGAAGGCAGCUCGCUGGGACGGUACUGACGCUGAGACGCGAAAGCGUGGGGAGCAAACAGG
rnacentral:rRNA from 1 species